UACAGAGGUCCCAAGCGUUGUUCGGAUUCACUGGGCGUAAAGGGUGCGUAGGCGGUCGAGUAAGUCUGACGUGAAAUCUCCGGGCCUAACCCGGAAACUGCGUUGGAAACUACUUGGCUAGAGGAAUGGAGGGGAGACUGGAAUACUUGGUGUAGCAGUGAAAUGCGUAGAUAUCAAGUGGAACACCAGUGGCGAAGGCGAGUCUCUGGACAUUUCCUGACGCUGAGGCACGAAAGCCAGGGGAGCAAACAGG
rnacentral:rRNA from 1 species